CGAGAAGCGACACCAGGUCGACAGCGAGCCCGAGCUCCCUCGAUCUCAUGCUCGAUCCCUCGACUAAGGUCGAGAUGUCCCGUAAGUCGACAACGAACCCAAGCCCACUCGGCCUAGGGAAGACAUACAGGGUAGAGCCUUUGCGCCCCCCCUAACACUCGACAACGACAGAGGGGUGGCACCUAUGUGGAUUCCCCGACGACAACACUCCAGCAAGAAGCGGACUACGGGCCAGAAAGCGCCCCUAAAAGCUAGCCGCAACGCAAAGCGCCUGGCUCCAACAGUGCAAGAGUGAUCUCCAGUCCAGUCCAUACA
rnacentral:lncRNA from 1 species